rnacentral:rRNA from 1 species
AUUGAACGCUGGCGGCAGGCUUAACACAUGCAAGUCGAGCGGAGCGAGGGUGCUUGCACCUUAGCUUAGCGGCGGACGGGUGAGUAAUGCUUAGGAAUCUGCCUAUUAGUGGGGGACAACAUUCCGAAAGGAAUGCUAAUACCGCAUACGCCCUACGGGGGAAAGCAGGGGAUCUUUGGACCUUGCGCUAAUAGAUGAGCCUAAGUCGGAUUAGCUAGUUGGUGGGGUAAAGGCCUACCAAGGCGACGAUCUGUAGCGGGUCUGAGAGGAUGAUCCGCCACACUGGGACUGGAACACGGCCCAGACUCCUACGGGAGGCAGCAGUGGGGAAUAUAGGACAAUGGGCGGAAGCCUGAUCCAGCCAUGCCGCGUGUGUGAGGAAGGCCUUUUGGUUGUAAAGCACUUUAAGCGAGGAGGAGGAGCUCUAGGUUAAUACCCUAGAUGCUUGGACGUUACUCGCAGAAUAAGCACCGGCUAACUCUGUGCCAGCAGCCGCCGUAA